rnacentral:rRNA from 1 species
GACGAACGCUGGCGGCGUGCUUAACACAUGCAAGUCGAACGGAAAGGCCCUGCUUUUGUGGGGUGCUCGAGUGGCGAACGGGUGAGUAACACGUGAGUAACCUGCCCUUGACUUUGGGAUAACUUCAGGAAACUGGGGCUAAUACCGGCGAGGAGCUCCUGCUGCAUGGUGGGGGUCGGAAAGUUUCGGCGGGUGGGGAUGUACUCGGGGCUUAUGAGCUUGUUGGUGGGGUAGUGGCUUACCAAGGCAUUGAAGGGUAGCCGGCAUGGGAGGGGGACCGGGGACAAGAGUACUGAGGGAGGGAGCAGUGUGCAACGGGGGGCAGCAGUGGGAAAUAUUGCACAGUGGGGGGGAGCGUGAUGAGGCGACGUCGGGUGCGGGAAGACGGCCUUGGGGUUGUAAACCGCAUUCAGCUAAGACGAAGCGUGAGUGACGUUAAUGAGUGAAGAAGCACCGGCUAACUACGUG